GAUGAACGCUGGCGGCGUGCCUAAUACAUGCAAGUCGAGCGAACGGACGAGAAGCUUUCUCUUCUGCUGUUAGCGGCGGACGGGUGAGUAACACGUGGAUAACCUACCUAUAAGACUGGGAUAACUUCGGGAAACCGGAGCUAAUACUGGAUAAUAUUUUGAACCGCAUGGUUCAAAAGUGAAAGACGGUCUUGCUGUCACUUAUAGAUGGAUCCGCGCUGGAUUAGCUAGUUGGUAAGGUAACGGCUUACCAAGGCAACGAUGCGUAGCCGACCUGAGAGGGUGAUCAGCCACACUGGAACUGAGACACGGUCCAGACUCCUACGGGAGGCAGCAGUAGGGAAUCUUCGGCAAUGGGCGAAAGCCUGACGGAGCAACGCCGCGUGAGUGAUGAAGGUCUUCGGAUCGUAAAGCUCUGUUAUUGGGGAAGAACAUAUGUGGAAGUAACUGUGCACAUCUUGACGGUACCUAAUCAGAAAGCCACGGCUAACUACGUG
rnacentral:rRNA from 1 species